GGCCUGGUUGGGCGGUCCGCCUCACGGCGAGUACUGUUCGGCCGGGUCUUACCUCUUGGUGAGCCUGCAUGCCCUUUACUGGGUGUGUAGGGGAACCAGGACUUUUACCUUGAGAAAAUUAGAGUGUUCAAAGCAGGCCUACGCCUGAAUACAUUAGCAUGGCAUAAUAAAAUAGGACCU
rnacentral:rRNA from 1 species